CUCAACCCUAUAUAGAUGGGGGGGGGGGGUUUCUACGCUUCAUGCAUAUAUCUUGAGGUUAGCGAGUUGCCGGAGAUUGAUCGGAUAAAUAUCGGAGGUGUCGCCGGAGAGUAGACGCCUAGCAAUGAUGAUGUUAGCAGCUUCGGUAGGAUGGUAAGGAUCCCAAAAUACAUAUUUGGAACGGUCCAUACAUACUUUUGAAGGCGGGCCGCAUGGAAUCAGCCCACCUACUUUCCCAACUAACGAACAACAAGGAAUCUUCUCACUCUCAAAACCUACAAUAUCAAAUCACAAAAUUCAUACGUUUAAAUCUGAAAGAAGUUUCAAAACAUUAUCAGAAAGUC